CUCUAUGGCAGGCCGGAUGGGGGAGUCGAGAGGCUCGCCGGUUCCUAGAUUCCGGUCUUCCAACCCUGUUUGGUCUGCCACCCCA
rnacentral:antisense_RNA from 1 species